rnacentral:rRNA from 1 species
UACGGAGGGGGCUAGCGUUGUUCGGAAUUACUGGGCGUAACGCGCACGUAGGCGGCUUUGUAAGUUAGAGGUGAAAGCCCGGGGCUCAACUCCGGAAUUGCCUUUAAGACUGCAUCGCUAGAAUUGUGGAGAGGUAAGUGGAAUUCCGAGUGUAGAGGUGAAAUUCGUAGAUAUUCGGAAGAACACCAGUGGCGAAGGCGACUUACUGGACACAUAUUGACGCUGAGGUGCGAAAGCGUGGGGAGCAAACAGG